rnacentral:siRNA from 1 species
CACAUUGCCACGCGUCAGAUGCA